CAAACGGAUUGGAAAACGGUACGAUCCGGUUGGUGCGGGGUUGGCGUCGACCUACCCACCACAUUACUGCGGCGCCGUUGGUCGAUCCCCAAAUCGUGUGUAGAGAAACCCUAGCGGCUCGUUCAAUCGAUCCCCAAAUCGGCGAAGAUGGCCACAACGCGAACCAAGACGCGGAUCUAGUGGCGCUGCCAAUCGUCCCUUGCCCGGACUGCGGCAGCCGGCAGGAGCGUAGUCACAUACGUUGCUCGCUGCGGGCAGAACGCCGGCGAGCGCUUCUACAAGUGCCGGAAUCACAAUGCAAGGGGAUUUUGCCAUCAGCUGGUGGACGCGACUUCUAUAGAUGGCAUCAGCUCUGCUAAGUCAGCCUAUCAAUUUAGGACAAAGCAGUUCUAGCAGCAGAUUCACUGAAUAUUAACUGCACAAUCCAAGGCACCUGUAGCUUGACGGUCCAACUUGCUCCUGCGCCGGCUCGAUUUGCGCCGUGAGCGUAGCUGCCAGGAAUGGAGAGAAUGCUGUUGUUGUCGAAGGGAUGAACCAUUCUGGGAUUCAACUCCGAGGUCAGCUCCAUAUGAUGCAACACAUGGCAUUGAUUUUGUUGGCAGCAGGGACAAGUCCAGAAUGUGUAUGCUUCAUGCAAUCAAGCAGUAUGACGGGGAUAAGAUGAUGUGGCCACUAACGAGGCUACAUAUUGCUAGUUUUUUUUUAUUCUUUGCUAAAUCCAGAUGAUGUGAAUUUUCUCAGCUAGAUCUUCUAUGUUGGCCUUGAAAUCUGCAGAAAAACCUCGUCACUUUUUGGCAAACAGCUGCUUUCGAGGUCUUCUGCUUGUGCGAGGAGCACGGGAGUGUGGCUGAUGAUGUGUUACGGCCUUACGGGCUGUUCUAGAAGAACCCGAGGAAUGAAGGGCCAUCUUCGAUGCUUGUGUUGUGUGCAAAUUGUUUGUCAUUUUAGAGGCUUUGGCUGGUAUGGUCGUUGGGGUCGAUCACAUCUAGUUCUGUGGAAUAAAAGUAUGUGCUCCCUUCGAUCCAUAUUAAUUGACGCACACUUAGUACAACUUUGUACUAAAGUUGUACUGUGUGUGCGUCAAUUAAUUUGGAUCAGAGGGACUACUUUUUAUUAAGAUGGCACACAAGAUGUACCAACUAGUAAUUACGGGGAUCUUCUAACUGACUUGCUAGACCGGACGGAUAUUAUGUAUGAAGGCCAAUGCACUCGAAUGCUAUUCGCCAAACCUGUUGCUUUUUUCCUUAACAUAGAUCAAAAACAUUGAUCCUUGUAAGGUGUUGAUUCUACAAAAUCCCUAUAUGUGUGGCCACACGUGAAUCAAAGUUGUUUUUUGUGCU